UGGGGUGUAGCUCAACUGGCAGAGCGCCCGGCUGUUAACCGGGAGGUUGGUGGUUCGAACCCACCCGCCCCAG
rnacentral:tRNA from 1 species